rnacentral:rRNA from 1 species
CACGUAGGGGGCAAGCGUUGUCCGGAUUUAUUGGGCGUAAAGAGCUCGUAGGCGGUUCGGUAAGUCGGGUGUGAAACCUCCAGGCUCAACCUGGAGAGGCCACCUGAUACUGCUGUGACUCGAGUCCGGUAGGGGAGCGUGGAAUUCCUGGUGUAGCGGUGGAAUGCGCAGAUAUCAGGAGGAACACCAAUAGCGAAGGCAGCUCGCUGGGACGUUACUGACACUGAGGCGCGAAAGCGUGGGGAGCGAACAGG